rnacentral:rRNA from 1 species
GAUGAACGCUGGCGGCGUGCCUAAUACAUGCAAGUCGAGCGAACGGACGAGAAGCAUGCUUCUCUGAUGUUAUCGGCCGACGGGUCAGUAACACGUGGUUAACCUACCUAUACGACUGGGAUAACUUCGGGAAACCGGAGCUAAUACCGGAUAAUAUUUUGACCCGCAUGGUUCAAAAGUUAAAGACGCUCCUGCUGUCACUUAUAGCUGACUCAGCACUCCAUUAGCUAGUUGGUAAGGUAACGGCUUACCAACGCAACGAGGCAUACCCGACCCGAAAGGGAGAUCGGCUACACGGGAAGUGAGACACAGUCCAGACACCUAGAGGGGGCAGCAGUAGGGAAUCUUCCGGGAUGGGCGAGAGGCUAAUAGAGCAAAGUGGCGUGAGGCAUGAUGGUGUUCUGAUGGUAGAACGCUGUAAUUAGGGAAGUUGAUAAGUGCAAGUACCUGGGAUCAUCUUGACAGUACCGAAAGAGAAAGCUACGGCUAACUCCGUG